rnacentral:rRNA from 1 species
UACGAAGGGGGCUAGCGUUGCUCGGAAUUACUGGGCGUAAAGCGCACGUAGGCGGCUUUCUAAGUCGGAGGUGAAAUCCUGGAGCUCAACUCCAGAACUGCCUUCGAUACUGGAGAGCUCGAGUCCGGGAGAGGUGAGUGGAACUGCGAGUGUAGAGGUGAAAUUCGUAGAUAUCGGGAGGAACACCAGAGGCGAAGGCGGCCACCUGGACAGAGAUUGACGCUGAGACGCGAAAGCGUGGGGAGCAAACAGG